rnacentral:rRNA from 1 species
ACGAACGCUGGCGGCGUGCCUAAUACAUGCAAGUAGAACGCACAGUUUAUACCGUAGCUUGCUACACCAUAGACUGUGAGUUGCGAACGGGUGAGUAACGCGUAGGUAACCUGCCUGGUAGCGGGGGAUAACUAUUGGAAACGAUAGCUAAUACCGCAUAAUAUUGAUUAUUGCAUGAUAAUUGAUUGAAAGAUGCUAUUGCAUCACUACCAGAUGGACCUGCGUUGUAUUAGCUAGUAGGUGAGGUAACGGCUCACCUAGGCGACGAUACAUAGCCGACCUGAGAGGGUGCUCGGCCACACUGGGACUGAGACACGGCCCAGACUCCUACGGGAGGCAGCAGUAGGGAAUCUUCGGCAAUGGACGAAAGUCUGACCGAGCAACGCCGCGUGAGUGAAGAAGGUUUUCGGAUCGUAAAGCUCUGUUGUAAGAGAAGAACGGGUGUGAGAGUGGAAAGUUCACACUGUGACGGUAUCUUACCAGAAAGGGACGGCUAACUACGUG